AUCAAUGCCACUAUUACACCCAAUAUUUGAGUUGUGUACUGAGAGAUAUGAACAGGUGGGAUCUGCCAGCGAACGAGAUAUGAACAGCUGGUAUCUGCGAGUGAACAAACAAAUAAAUGUCAUCAGGCAGGCGCAUGAACAUACACACUUUUGAUCCUUGACAAAGCUAAAUCCAUACUUGAAACCAUGUAAACGAUACAAGGUUUGGAACAGUUCUCUGUUAAACCACAAAGAGAGCCAUGUAAACAAAUAGGAGUUAUCUUAAAGGAAUUUGAUUGCACGCACACUUCCAGUACUUGACAAUGAAGAAUCCUCUAAUGUUGAUAACUAUAUAUGGUGUUCAAAUUAAUUUCAAAUUAUACGCAUUAGGGUUCACAUAUCCACACAGUUGCAGUACCU
rnacentral:lncRNA from 1 species